UACGAAGGGGGCUAGCGUUGCUCGGAAUCACUGGGCGUAAAGGGCGCGUAGGCGGCCAUUCAAGUCAGGGGUGAAAGCCUGUGGCUCAACCACAGAAUUGCCUUUGAUACUGUUUGGCUAGAGACCGGAAGAGGUAAGUGGAACUGCGAGUGUAGAGGUGAAAUUCGUAGAUAUUCGCAAGAACACCAGGUGGCGAAGGCGGCUUACUGGUCCGGUUCUGACGCUGAGGCGCGAAAGCGUGGGAGCAAACAGG
rnacentral:rRNA from 1 species